rnacentral:rRNA from 1 species
CUACGGGCGGCUCCAGUGGGGAAUAUUGCGCAAUGGGCGAAAGCCUGACGCAGCGACGCCGCGUGAGGGAUGAAGGUCUUCGGAUUGUAAACCUCUGUUAAGUGGGAAGAAAGACUCGCUCUUAAUAGGAGCGAAUGAUGACGGUACCAUUAGAGAAAGCACCGGCUAACUUCGUGCCAGCAGCCGCGGUAAUACGAGGGGUGCUAACGUUAUUCGGAAUUAUUGGGCGUAAAGGGUGUGCAGGCGGCGUGCUAAGUCAGCUGUUUAAUUCUCCGGCCUAACCAGAGGUCAGCGGUAGAUACUGGCAUGCUAGAGGGUGGAAGAGAGAAGUGGAAUUCUCGGAGUAGCGGUAAAAUGCGUAGAUCUCGAGAGGAACACCGAUGGCGAAGGCAGCUUCUUGGUCCAUACCUGACGCUCAUACACGAAAGCGUGGGGAGCAAACAGGAUUAGAUACCCUAGUAGUC